CGGAGCCAAGCCCGGGCCGGAAGCCCCACCCCUGGGCGGCUCUCGCCGCCAUGCAGGGGGGCGCGGGGCCGCGCGCGGGGACAUCCAAGGGCGGCGUCCGGGAGCUGGUGUGGGGCUACCUGGAGAGCAGCGGCCUGGCGGAGAGACCCCGGCCCGUGCACGGCCGCAUCCCCAACUUCAAGGGGUCCCACCAGGCUUGCUGCUCUAUUAAAGAGCUCGAUGCGUUCAGCAGAGCAAGUGUGAUCAAAGUGGAUCCUGAUAAACCUCUGGAAGGUGUUCGGCUAGCCGCGCUGCAGGCAAGGAAGACUUUGUUGGUUCCCACCCCCCGUCUGAGAAGUGGCCUGUUCAAUCAGAUUGUUCCACCCUCAGGUGCCACCAAGGAGAUCCUGCGGAUAUGUGCUACUUCUCAAGGUAUAAAAGAAUACAGUGUGCCUGUAGGUCUUGAUGGGAAAGUACGAGUGGACUUGGUUGUUGUAGGAUCAGUGGCUGUCUCUGAAAAAGGCUGGAGAAUUGGAAAAGGUGAAGGUUAUGCAGACAUGGAAUACGCGAUGAUGGUGUCAAUGGGAGCAGUGAAGGAGGAGACACCUGUAGUUACUAUUGUGCAUGACUGCCAGGUGCUCGACAUAGCAGAAGAGCUUCUUGAUGAUCAUGAUUUAACCGUUGAUUAUAUACUCACACCAACAAGAACUAUCAAGACUAAUUGCAAACGACCAAAACCCCAGGGAAUAAUAUGGCAUAAGGUCAGCUAUGAGAUGCUGGCAAAAAUCCCCAUCCUAAAGAGUCUUCGAUACAAAGAGAAACAGACAGGCAAGGAUGUUACCCUCCAAGACGAACAUCCAGACUUGGCAAACGCCAGCAAGUCAGCAGCGUUAAAUGAGAAGGCAAUGCCUGGAAAUACAAGACCGCAGGCUGCAAUGGGCUCGGCUCAAAUGGGACAACAUUCUUCAUUCCUGAAAAACAAGCUGAAUUUUGGCUGAACCAUCCUUUCUAAACAGAAGCAGUUUUGCCAUUGAUGCUGGGCACAUAGUCAAAAAACCACAACAUAUAGUUCCAGGUCAGCUGACCUCCAAAGGUAAUGAAAAAGAGGCAUUCAUACCGGUUUUCUGUCUUCUCCUAGUAAAAUCUUACAUUAUGCCAGGGGAGUUACGUUUGUGGUUCCAGAGCCUGAGCUGUGCUAGAUCUAUAUCCAUGUAGCCAACCUCUGUAAUUAUCUUCCAGCCUGUCACUUUUUUCAGUCUUAUGUUUUGUGAGGUCACAUUUCACAGCAAUACAUAAUAACCUGUUACUUUCCCAAAAGGCAAUUAACAGUCCAAACCACGCUGCUGGGAAGAUAUUAACUAGACAGAUAUAUAACUGCAGUUAGGCUCUGAAAAGAAAAAUAAUUACUAUACGCUUAAGAUAACGGACAAUUCAUUAGCAUUUCGAAUGAACUGGAAUAAUGUUGAUGCUGUGAUAAUAUCCAAUUUAAGUAGUCCUUUUUGAUCCAGGUUGUUAAUAAAUGGCAAGGUCCUCUAGGCCUUGGCAUCGUAAAGUCAUUAAAGCUUGUUUUUAAUUCAAGGUAGCAGCUGCUCCAGGUCGGAGUUUGGCAGCCCACUGCAAACCCAUCUGUAUCAGCAGCUUCAGCAAAUCAGUAGUAACGUGUGUGGGUACAAGUUCAUUUGUCAUCUCUGCAUCAAGAGCAACAUCAUGCAGGAGCGAAUUAGUACAGGCAGCUGCUGAAAAUAGAACCUGAAGCUACAGAAGGCUCACCAGGGUUCAGAGCCUCUGCGGAGUGUUUAGUAGUAAGAGGUUAUAUGAAGGCAGAGCAGUAGUCAUCAGAAAUCAGGUGUGGCUUCCCCACACUCCUGCAGGUUUAGGGUGGGUGCUUUACUUUCACCAGGGUUUUCUGUUGGCAAAUAUGACUGAAGAACGUAACCUCUCCCUUUUCGAGAUGAAAAAUCGGAACAAGUCCUAGCGCAUUUAUGGAUUGAUAUAGUAUUCCCACAGUGAGAACCGGAAGUGAUGUUGUAGGAACUUAAGCAUUUACAUUUCGAAAAGAAAAAAAAAAGGCAGCAUGACUUGCAGCAAAGCUGUUCUACAAGCUAACCUGUGAGGUACACCACUGUAUAGCUCGUACUGUCUGAAAUGCACCAUAUAUUAACACAUUCAGUAGGAGUUUGACCUUGCACAUGCUGAAGUCAAUGUGAUUUCUGUCUUGGCCAGCAAGAGAAGCAGUGACAAGGACGAUGCCCUUACUGCCGCUUGGGAAGUUGAUCAUCUUUAGCUAAGAGACAUUUCAAUGCAAGAUGCUAAAUUGCUGUUUAAUUAAGUAAUGCAAGACUGCCCAAGGCACACGCCUACAUGGCUUUCUGGCAUCUCUAGCUGUAUGAUGUGGAUUUUUUCUUGCAGGCUGACCAAAAUUCUACUUGGGGAGACAGCAGAUUUUGAAGAAAAAGUGAAUGGGGCAGUUUGCAUCUCUUAGAUCUAUUGUUUCAGGCUCUCUGCAUGGUCAGGAAGACAUCAGUUAUACAUGAGUCACUUCUGACUUUUCUCUGAAUCCACAAAACUGAAAUGUAAUGCUUUUUAGUGAAUCCUUAGACUCUGAUCUCAUAAUGAAACUCGAGGAACUGAAGCCUGCUUAUGUUUCACUUUGGCCCAGAUCAGGCCUACGCAAGAUAUUUUAGCAACAAUCAAACCACAAAGUCCGUGCCCUGAAGAAUUUACAGUCUGAAUUAACAAGCUUUAAAGAUGAGAACUUUUACUAAAAUAAUAACUCUUCAUUUUCUGCUGGUUGUAUUUGUGGCCCUGGUGCUAGCACCUAGGAUGAACUUGGCUACAUCAUGGAUAGGGUUUGUGCCUAAUCUCAGGUGGAUAUUGGCCCCUACAGUCCCUCUUUAUUGCUGUGACUGAAGCGCUAGUCUAGGACUGCAGAAGCCUCAGUGCUUCAACCCUGUUCUCUGUAAUUGCCUUUUGGUGACCGCUCAUGCCCAGAACAAUGGAGAGAAUGUACUUCUAAGCACUUAACCCCCAGUCUCCUUCUGUAUGAAUGGUGGGAUAUCCUUGCUUUUUACGACUCUCAUGAUAAAAACAUUUACAAUGAGAAAGAAGUGCCUGGGUGCUGAAGAAAAAAAGAGGUCUAAAAUGCCUGUGAUAGAUGUGCAGUCUGCAUUUAAUAGGAAAUGAAGUGAUCCCUAACACAGACUUGAUGUUGGUUCACUUGCAGCAGCACAAGAGCCUGUGUUUCUCUGCUGUGUGAUGAGAAGAAAAGUUCAGCAGUACAAUGGGAAAUACUUUACUGAGCCAACUUUGUUCAGAAGUAAUUAAAAAUGAGGUCUUUCUAUUCUCUGU